AUGGGGGGUGAUGGCGGGGGCGGGCGACUCAAUCCUGUCCUUCUUCCCUGCGCAGGGCUGCGGGCGGCCGUGCAGCUGGUCGAGUCCGGAGGGGGCCUCCAGACCCCCGGGGGGUCCCUGACCCUCCUCUGCAAGGCCUGCGGCUUCUCCUUGAGCAGCUACGCCAUGGCUUGGGUGCGACAGGCGCCCGGGAAGGGGCUCGAGUAUGUUGGACGUAUUAGCAGCAGCGGUAGCACAUGGUACCCAUCGUCGUUCAAGGGGCGCUUCACCAUCUCCAGGGACACCUCCCAGAGCACGGUCACGCUGCAGAUGAGCAGCCUGAAGACCGACGACACGGGCACCUCCUGCUGCGCGAGGGAUGGUUAUGGUGGCCCUGACCCCAGCACCGUGCCCCAACACCCCCGCACGGGCUCCCCAAAGCCCAGCAUCCUCCCAAACCCCUGCACCCAGCCCUGA